rnacentral:rRNA from 1 species
AGCCUGAUCCAGCCAUGCCGCGUGUGUGAAGAAGGCCUUUUGGUUGUAAAGCACUUUAAGCGAGGAGGAGGCUACCUGGAUUAAUACUCUGGGAUAGUGGACGUUACUCGCAGAAUAAGCACCGGCUAACUCUGUGCCAGCAGCCGCGGUAAUACAGAGGGUGCGAGCGUUAAUCGGAUUUACUGGGCGUAAAGCGUGCGUAGGCGGCUGAUUAAGUCGGAUGUGAAAUCCCUGAGCUUAACUUAGGAAUUGCAUUCGAUACUGGUCAGCUAGAGCAUGGGAGAGGAUGGUAGAAUUCCAGGUGUAGCGGUGAAAUGCGUAGAGAUCUGGAGGAAUACCGAUGGCGAAGGCAGCCAUCUGGCCUAAUACUGACGCUGAGGUACGAAAGCAUGGGGAGCAAACAGGAUUAGAUACCCUGGUAGUCCAUGCCGUAAACGAUGUCUACUAGCCGUUGGGGCCUUUGAGGCUUUAGUGGCGCAGCUAACGCGAUAAGUAGACCGCCUGGGGAGUACGGUCGCAAGACUAAAACUCAAAUGAAUUGACGGGGGCCCGCACAAGCGGUGGAGCAUGUGGUUUAAUUCGAUGCAACGCGAAGAACCUUACCUGGCCUUGACAUAGUAAGAACUUUCCAGAGAUGGAUUGGUGCCUUCGGGAACUUACAUACAGGUGCUGCAUGGCUGUCGUCAGCUCGUGUCGUGAGAUGUUGGGUUAAGUCCCGCAACGAGCGCAACCCUUUUCCUUACUUGCCAGCAUUUCGGAUGGGAACUUUAAGGAUACUGCCAGUGACAAACUGGAGGAAGGCGGGGACGACGUCAAGUCAUCAUGGCC